rnacentral:rRNA from 1 species
UCCCCGCCCCGGUGAGAAUGCCCUCUAUAUCUUCUCAGAUCAAAAGGUGCAGGCAUCAAGUUCACUCAUUCUACCGUAGCUCAUAACGCCUUGCUUAACCACACCCCCACGGGACACAGCAGUAAUUAAAAUUAAGCAAUGAACGAAAGUUCGACUAAGUCAAACUAAGAUUAGGGUUGGUAAAUUUCGUGCCAGCCACCGCGGUCAUACGAUUAACCCAAGUUAAUAAAGCACGGCGUAAAGCGUGAUUUAAGACUAAAUCAAUACUAAGCUGUAAAAAGCCCUAGUAUAAAUAAAAUAAAACACGAAAGUAGUCUUAAAAUUUCUGAAUUCACGAUAGCUAAGACCCAAACUGGGAUUAGAUACCCCACUAUGCUUAGCCUUAAACACAAAUACUUAAUAAACAAGAGUAUUCGCCAGAGAACUACUAGCAACAGCCUAAAACUCAAAGGACUUGGCGGUACUUUACAUCCCUCUAGAGGAGCCUGUUCUAUAAUCGAUAAACCCCGAUAAACCUCACCACCUUUUGCAAUCUCAGUCUAUAUACCGCCAUCUUCAGCAAACCCUAACAAGGCCUCACAGUAAGCACAAGAAUUUUACAUUAAUACGUUAGGUCAAGGUGUAACCUAUAAGGUGGGAAGAAAUGGGCUACAUUUUCUAUUAACUAGAACACUUACGAUAACUUUCAUGAAACCUUGAAAGUCAAAGGCGGAUUU